AUGGAGAAACACGGCGGCGGCAGUCCGGCGAGGCGGAAGAAGACCAUGUCAGCUGUCCAGCAAGGCGGAGGAAGACCACGGUCUGAUCUGAUUCGUGUGGUUUGUGCCAUCUGGUCCGAUCUGGUCUGGUCAAGGGGACCAAGGAGAACCUGCUGCUGGUUCAAGGGCCAUGGUGCUCAACAUCACCACCAUGAAGCUUCCCCUGUUGCGCCAAGAAGACAGCCUGACCACCUACCCACCGAAGUUGAUGCAGCAGCACCUGGAGUUAAUCCCCAGGAUGAACCCAUCCCCAGUGGCAUCAUUGGCACCGACGAUGACAUGGAUGAGACCGAGCACGAGGAUAUCGUGGAGGAUGUAUCCCUCAUGGAUAUUGACAGCGCCGACUCGGGAAUCCCCUGGCAGCAACUGAGAAAUGAGCUUUGUGUGUCAUGGUGA
rnacentral:rRNA from 1 species